GCGGGGUGCUAUACAUGCAGUCGAGCGAAUGGAUUGAGAGCUUGCUCUCAAGAAGUUAGCGGCGGACGGGAGAGUAACACGUGGGUAACCUGCCCAUAAGACUGGGAUAACUCCGGGAAACCGGGGCUAAUACCGGAUAACAUUUUGAACUGCAUGGUUCGAAAUUGAAAGGCGGCUUCGGCUGUCACUUAUGGAUGGACCCGCGUCGCAUUAGCUAGUUGGUGAGGUAACGGCUCACCAAGGCAACGAUGCGUAG
rnacentral:rRNA from 1 species